AUUGAACGCUGGCGGCAGGCUUAACACAUGCAAGUCGAACGAGUGGCGGACGGGUGAGUAAUGCUUGGGAAUCUAGCUUAUGGAGGGGGAUAACUACGGGAAACUGUAGCUAAUACCGCGUACCAUAGGAUGAGCCCAAUGGGGAUUAGGUAGUUGGUGAGGUAAAGGCUCACCAAGCCGACGAUCUCUAGCUGGUCUGAGAGGAUGACGAUCCAACCUGUGACUGAGACACGGCCCAGACUCCUACGUGAGGCAGCAGUGGGGAAUAUUGCGAAAUGGGGGCAACCUGACGCAGCCAUGCCGCGUGAAUGAAGAAGGCCUUCGGGUUUUAAAGUUCUUUCGGUAGCGAGGCGUUAACUACAGAAGAAGCACCGGCUAACUCCGUGCCAGCAGCCGCGGUAAUAC
rnacentral:rRNA from 1 species